rnacentral:rRNA from 1 species
AGUGAACGCUGGCGGUAGGCCUAACACAUGCAAGUCGAACGGCAGCACAGUAAGAGCUUGCUCUUACGGGUGGCGAGUGGCGGACCGGUGAGGAAUACAUCGGAAUCUACUUUUUCGUGGGGGAUAACGUAGGGAAACUUACGCUAAUACCGCAUACGACCUACGGGUGAAAGCAGGGGAUCUUCGGACCUUGCGCGAUUGAAUGAGCCGAUGUCGGAUUAGCUAGUUGGCGGGGUAAAGGCCCACCAAGGCGACGAUCCGUAGCUGGUCUGAGAGGAUGAUCAGCCACACUGGAACGGAGACACGGUCCAGACUCCUACGGGAGGCAGCAGUGGGGAAUAUUGGACAAUGGGCGCAAGCCUGAUCCAGCCAUACCGCGUGGGUGAAGAAGGCCUUCGGGUUGUAAAGCCCUUUUGUUGGGAAAGAAAAGCAGCAGGUUAAUACCCCGCUGUUCUGACGGUACCCAAAGAAUAAGCACCGGCUAACUUCGUG